rnacentral:rRNA from 1 species
GGGGUAAGUUCCGACCUGCACGAAAGGCGUAACGAUUUGGAUACUGUCUCGGAGAGAGGCUCGGCGAAAUAGACUUGUCUGUGAAGAUGCGGACUACCUGCACCUGGACAGAAAGACCCUAUGAAGCUUUACUGUAACUUGAAAUUGAAACUGGACUUUGUUUGCGCAGUAUAGGUGGGAGGCUUUGAUGAUUUUCUUGCGGGAAAGUCGGAGCCAUCAGUGAGAUACCACUCCUAUAAUGUUAGGUUUCUAACUUUGAAUCAUUAUCUGGUCAGAGGACAGUUUCAGGCGGGCAGUUUGACUGGGGCGGUCGCCUCCCAAAGAGUAACGGAGGCGCGCGAAGGUUGGCUCAGAGCGGUCGGAAAUCGCUCGUUGAGUGCAAUGGCAGAAGCCAGCCUGACUGCAAGACUGACACGUCGAGCAGAGUCGAAAGACGGCCAUAGUGAUCCGGUGGUCCCGAGUGGAAGGGCCAUCGCUCAACGGAUAAAAGGUACGCUGGGGAUAACAGGCUGAUGAUGCCCAAGAGUCCAUAUCGACGGCAUCGUUUGGCACCUCGAUGUCGGCUCAUCUCAUCCUGGGGCUGAAGCAGGUCCCAAGGGUAUGGCUGUUCGCCAUUUAAAGAGGUACGUGAGCUGGGUUUAGAACGUCGUGAGACAGUUCGGUC